rnacentral:rRNA from 1 species
GAGUUUGAUCCUGGCUCAGGAUGAACGCUAGCGGCAGGCCUAACACAUGCAAGUCGAGGGGUAACAGAAAAGCUUGCUUUUGCUGACGACCGGCGCACGGGUGCGUAACGCGUAUGCAACCUACCUCAUACUGGAGGAUAGCCCCUGGAAACGGGGAUUAAUACUCCAUAGUAUCACAAUUUCGCAUGUUAUUGUGAUUAAAGUUUUUCGGUAUGAGAUGGGCAUGCGUCCCAUUAGCUUGUUGGUGAGGUAACGGCUCACCAAGGCAACGAUGGGUAGGGGGCCUGAGAGGGUGGUCCCCCACACUGGUACUGAGACACGGACCAGACUCCUACGGGAGGCAGCAGUGAGGAAUAUUGGUCAAUGGAGGAAACUCUGAACCAGCCAUGCCGCGUGAAGGAUGACGGCCCUAUGGGUUGUAAACUUCUUUUAUAGAGGAAGAAACUUGUCUACGUGUAGACAACUGACGGUACUCUACGAAUAAGGAUCGGCUAACUCCGUGCCAGCAGCCGCGGUAAUACGGAGGAUCCAAGCGUUAUCCGGAUUCAUUGGGUUUAAAGGGUCCGUAGGCGGAUUUUUAAGUCAGUGGUGAAAGCCGACAGCUCAACUGUCGAACUGCCAUUGAUACUGGAAAUCUUGAGUACAAAUGAAGUAGGCGGAAUGAGUCAUGUAGCGGUGAAAUGCAUAGAUAUGACUCAGAACACCGAUUGCGAAGGCAGCUUACUAACAUGUAACUGACGCUGAGGGACGAAAGCGUGGGGAGCGAACAGGAUUAGAUACCCUGGUAGUCCACACCGUAAACGAUGAUUACUCGGUAUUGGCUUUAUUGUCAGUGCCCAAGCGAAAGUGAUAAGUAAUCCACCUG